rnacentral:rRNA from 1 species
UGGUGUGGGUGGCGUGGGGUCCUAAGUGUGGGAGGCAAGCGUGUUAACAGGUGUGACGCAGGGAGGUAGCUUCGCGUGCCUAAUGGCUUGGCGCGUUUAAGGGUGUGGCCCGUCCUCUAGGUAAAUCCGGGGGACAUGUAAGGGUGAGGCCUGAUGGUGACCGUUUUUAUAGCGGGAAGUAGGGUGAUCCUGUACUGCCGAGAAAAGCAUCGACGUGAGUGGUAAGACCGCCCGUACCCGAAACCGACACUGGUAGUUGGGUAGAGCAUACUAAGGCGUGCGAGUGAAUCGUGGUUAAGGAACUCGGCAAAAUGCCCCCGUAACUUUGGGAGAAGGGGGGCCCACUCUUUACACGCCCCGUGUCUGGGUGUUGUGGGGGGUUGGGUCGCAGAGUCUAGGGAGAAGCGACUGUUUAUCAAAAACACAGGUCCGUGCGAAGCUGUAAGGCGAUGUAUACGGACUGACGCCUGCCCGGUGCUGGAAGGUUAAGCGGACUGGUUAGCCCCUUUUUUGGGGGCGAGGCUGGGAAGUUAAGCCCCAGUAAACGGCGGUGGUAACUAUAACCAUCCUAAGGUAGCGAAAUUCCUUGUCGGGUAAGUUCCGACCUGCACGAAUGGCGUAACGACUUCUCUACUGUCUCGACCACGAGCUCGGUGAAAUUGCAUUACGAGUAAAGAUGCUCGUUUCGCGCAGCAGGACGGAAAGACCCCGGGACCUUUACUAUAGCUUGGUAUUGGUGUUCGGUACGGUUUGUGUAGGAUAGGUGGGAGACUGUGAGAUACAGACGCUAGUUUGUGUGGAGUCGUUGUUGAAAUACCACUCUGGUCGUAUUGCAUGUCUAACUUUGGUCCGUGAUCCGGGCUAAGGACAGUGCCUGGUGGGUAGUUUAACUGGGGCGGUUGCCUC